UACGGGCGAAAAGCCUAAAACUCAAAAGACUUGGCGGUGCUUCAUACACGACUUAGAGGAGCCUGUCCUAUAAUCGAUAUUCCACGAUAAACCUAACCACCCCUUGCCAAGUUCAGCCUAUAUACCGCCGUCAACAACCUACCCCAUGAGGGUAAAAUAGUAGAUGUAAAAGUCCAACACACAAACGUCAGGUCAAGGUGUAGCUUAUAGGGUGGAAGAGAUGGGCUACAUUUUUUCAGAUAAAACACCACGGCAAAAUAUCUUGAAACCGAUAUUAUAAGGCGGAUUUAACAGUAAAAUAAGCAAGAAGGCUUACUUUAAACUCGCUCUG
rnacentral:rRNA from 1 species